rnacentral:rRNA from 1 species
GACGAACCGUGCGAACGUUAUUCGGAAUCACUGGGCUUAAAGCGCGUGUAGGCGGGAGGGAACGUCGGCCGCUGAAAUCCCCCGGCUUAACCGGGGAAGGGGCGCCGAUACGGCCUUCCUGGAGGGACGUAGGGGGGAGCUGGAACUUCCGGUGGAGCGGUGAAAUGCGUUGAGAUCGGAAGGAACGCCCGCGGCGAAAGCGAGCUCCUGGACGUCUGCUGACGCUGAGACGCGAAAGCC